rnacentral:rRNA from 1 species
GCAAGUCGAACGGUAACAUGACUAGCUUGCUAGUUGAUGACGAGUGGCGGACGGGUGAGUAACGCGUAGGAAUCUACCCAGUAACGGGGGAUAAGCCAGAGAAAUUUGGUCUAAUACCGCAUACGCCCUUCGGGGGAAAGCAGGGGAUCUUCGGACCUUGCACUAUUGGAUGAGCCUGCGUGAGAUUAGCUUGUUGGUGAGGUAAUGGCUCACCAAGGCGACGAUCUCUAGCUGGUCUGAGAGGAUGAUCAGCCACACUGGAACUGAGACACGGUCCAGACUCCUACGGGAGGCAGCAGUGGGGAAUAUUGCACAAUGGGCGCAAGCCUGAUGCAGCCAUGCCGCGUGUGUGAAGAAGGCCCUAGGGUUGUAAAGCACUUUCAGCAGUGAGGAAAGGUUAGUAGUUAAUACCUGCUAGCUGUGACGUUAACUGCAGAAGAAGCACCGGCUAACUCCGUGCCAGCAGCCGCGGUAAUACGGAGGGUGCGAGCGU